AUCGAACGCUGGCGGCACGCUUAACACAUGCAAGUCGAACGGCAGCAUGGUGUGUAGUAAUACACAUUGAGUGCGCGUGGCGGACGGGUGAGUAACGCAUAGGGACAUGCCUAUAAGAGAGGCACAACCAUAGGAAACCGGGGCUAACACAGGAUAAAGGCGCAAGACCAAAGGCAGGGUGGAGACACCUGGCGCUGAGAGAGGGGCUUGCGUCUGAUUAGCUAGUUGGUCGGGUAAGGGCCCACCAAGGCGAUGAUCGGUAGCUGGUCUGAGAGGACGACCAGCCAAACUGGGACAGAGACACGGCCCAGACUCCUACGGGAGGCAGCAGUAGGGAAUAUUGGACAAUGGGGGCAACCCUGAUCCAGCAAUGCCGCGUGUGUGAAGAAGGCCUUCGGAUUGUAAAUCACUUUAGUCUGAGAAGAAGGAGAGUUGUUUAAGAGAUUAUUCUUUUGACUGUACCGGCAGAAUAAGCACCGGCUAACUCUGUGCCAGCCGCCGCUGUAA
rnacentral:rRNA from 1 species